rnacentral:lncRNA from 10 species
AGGACAAACUGCCUGGCAAACCAGCAGGGCCAGGCAAAUGAGGCCAAUUGGCAGCAAGGGCUGGGAUGGAGAUGUCAGAGAUUUAGAGGCUCUCAGGGUUGGAAGGGGGACCUCAAAUUUCAUCUAGGUCAAUGCUGUGUCCCCUUACCUGAGUCCUGUCUAUAAUAUCCCUCCCAAUAGUGGGCUAACCUCAGCUUGAAUGCUCCCGAUGAUGGAGCACUCAUUACCUCCUGGGACCACGAACUCAUCAAUGGGUGGUGCUGACUGUGCAAAAACCCUCCUUCAUUUUGAGCCUAAAUCUGUUUUCCAACAUGAAGAGAGAAGACCCCCGCAGUGGGUUCAUCCUUCUUCUGGCUCCAGCCCUCAGUGCUGCGAAGGAGCCGCAAGUCACUCUUCAUGAGGAAACAUGCCCGGUGUCUUGGGUGGGGGCAGAGGCACCACUGAUCCACAAAGAUGUGGUGUGAUUUUUUCCUCUCAGGGGACUUUGCUUGGGGGAGGGGCCACUGGGAAGAGCCAAGAAGCUGCUAGAAAAAAACUGAAGUCGUUCCUCCUUCUCAAGUGCGAAGUGAACCUGCAGCAGAACAUUAGAAACCCUGAUGCAGGCUAGCUCCGUCUGUGGGGACUGUUACAUGCUGGUUCUCUGUUGCCAGCUCCAGGGAGUCAGGGUCUAAUAGGAGCCACCCCAGGUAUUCCACUUAUAGUUAUAGCUCCAAGCAGGGGUCAUCAGCAGGGUGACUGGAACUCCCUGCGGUUCCAGAGAGCCACAGAUGCUCACCCAUGCUGGCUUUGGUAGGCAGGGAGCUCAGUAAGCCUCUCCGAGGCUCAGGAUUUUGCCAGUUUGGAAGAGCACUGGAUGAUUUGGAAGAGCACUGGAUUCCAAGCUUGGAAGAGCACUUGGAAGAGCACUGGAUUCCAAGCCAGCUUGGAAGAGCACAGUAAGGCAGGCUUCUUACUCUGUCACUUCGGACAAGUCCCUUCCUCUCUCUGGCUGUCAGUUUCCUCAGCUGUGAUAUGUGCUAUGUGUGGACCUUCAGAAAUGGUGCAGGGCUGGGCCCUGCAGCUGCCGAA